rnacentral:rRNA from 1 species
UGAAAAGCUCGGGGAUGACUUGUGGGUAGCGGUGAAAUUCCAAUCGAGCCCGGAGAUAGCUGGUUCUCCCCGAAAUAGCUUUAGGGCUAGCCUCAAGGGGAGAGAUACGGAGGUAGAGCACUGAAUGUCCUAGGGGGUAUUGCACCUACCGAAGACUAUCAAACUCCGAAUGCCGUCAUCUUAUACUUGGGAGUCAGACUGUGGGUGAUAAGAUUCAUAGUCGAAAGGGCAACAGCCCAGAUCGUCAGCUAAGGUCCCUAAAU